AUCCAAUUGAAGAGUCCCAAGUAGGAGGAAACGUGCGUCAUGGAU
rnacentral:hammerhead_ribozyme from 1 species